rnacentral:lncRNA from 1 species
AAAAUCCAAAAAUCCUGCUGCUCUCCUUCUACCGCCUCCACUUUAGAAGAGUCGGUCUCCCCCGAACACCUCAGACUCUGUGACUUCCCGCGGCCUCCCUUUCCCCGUCCCCAUGCUCUCCCCGGACGGGCCCCAUCUUACACUCGAACGACAGCUCCACCGCUCGGGGCAGCUAGACACGAUGUCCCAAAGUGGCCCAGACGGUAGCCUGGUCGAUUCCAAAGGACCCACACACGCAGUCGGCCAUAAACGUGGUGUGGAGAUCGUGGACGUUCGCGGGCCUCUGAUGAAAUCGCUGCUCCGGGGACCCCGGCGUCUAGGACCCGUCUUCUCCAUGUUCUUCACACCGUUGCUCCUGGGCCGGUUAUUCUCUUCCCUCUCGCUGACCUUAACGUUUUGUCUCUGCCAUUGAAUUUUUUUUUUAAAGAUUUUAUUUUUUCCUUUUUCUCCCCAAAGCCCCCGGUACAUAGUUGUGUAUUCUUCGUUGUGGGUUCUUCUAGUUGUGGCAUGUGGGACGCUGCCUCAGCGUGGUCUGAUGAACAGUGCCAUGUCCGCGCCCAGGAUUCGAACCCACGAAACACUGGGCCGCCUGCAGCGGAGCGUGCGAACUUAACCACUCGGCCACGGGGCCAGCCCCCUCUGCCAUUGAAUUUUGACUGUGCGAAUGUGACUUGCCGCUGUAGGGCUGCGUGGAUCUCUCAGGCAUCCUGCUGUGCCAUGCGGGGGGGGGGAAUCCUUGGUGGGUGGGUCGAUAGACGUCCCUUUGGUUGUCCCCUGGAGGGGAGAGACAGAGGGGACGACUCAAUCCACCACGAACGCUGAUGUCGCUCCGAUAAACCUGUAGCGGUGAUUCUAGUUUAUGGCCCGUGUCCUGAAAAGAACUUCCCGAAGGGCCAGCCCGGCGGCACAGCAGUUAAGUUCGCACGUUCCGUUUUGUCGGCCAGGGGUUCGCCGGUUCGGAUCCGGGGCACGGACACGGCACCGCUCGUCGGGCCGUGUGGAGGCGGCGUCCCACAUGCCACAACUAGAACGGCCCUCAACUAAGAUAGACAACUAUGUCAUGGGGGGAUUUGGGGAGAAAAAUCGCGGGGGGGGGGAAACAAAAACGGAAGAUUGGCAACAGUCGUUAGCUCGGGUGCCAAACUUAAGACAAAAACAAUUUCCUUGACGAUGUAGAUCAUUUCCGAGUAAGAUAGAACCUGAGACGUGAGUGGCUAAAUAGAAGUUUAUCUACUUUGGGUUUGUGAGGAUACGGAAACGAAAAGACCUUUGGGUCUAUCGAGGAACACGUCUCGUGCUUUAUUAAAAGCUUUGACAGGGGACGGCGGCACGGCGGCAUAGUGGUUAAGCUCCUGCACUCAGCUUCGGCAGCCUGGGGUCCUCGGGUUCAGAUCCCGGGCGUGGACCUCCACCGCUCCUCACUCCGGGCUGUGGUGGCAUCCCGUCCGCAAGAUCAAGGAAGUGGGGCGCAGGUGUUACCUCGGGCCCGCUCUCCCUCAAGCAGAAAGAAGAGGAAGAUUGGCAACAGGCGUCAGCUCUGUGAGGGCCGAUCUUCCUCACCCAAAAACUAAAGUGAGAUGAAAUCAAAUAAAGCGAAGGAAGAGAUAAACCUAUGAAAUCCCAUGUUUCUAAAAGUGGCCAAGUGUUUAGAAAUUGGCCAAGCGACAGACUGCUCAUGGGAAGGACAGUUCCUAAUUGCUGACUUCUUAGUUUUCACCAAAAUUAAGGUUCGUGAGGGUUAAAAAUUCUACUUAACGAAUGCGAUGAAAGCCACUAGGCCGGCCCAGUGGCGCGCUGGUUAAGUGUGCCUGUUCCACUUCGCCGGCCCGGGGUUCGCCGGUUCGGAUCCCGGGGGUGGACGUGGCACCGCUGGGCGAGCCACGUGGUGGUAGGCGUCCCACAUAUGAAAUAGAGGAAGAUGGGCACGGAGGUUAGCUCAGGGCCAGCCUUCCUCGGCAAAAAGAGGAGGAUUGGCAGCAGUUAGCUCAGGGCUCAUCGUCCUCAAAACAAAACAACACAAAACAAAACAAAAAGCCACUAAAAGUGAAUAUGGGAAACAUCUUUGUGUUCAAGGAAAGUGAGAUGGCUGCCUUCAGGCAAGAGGGCCUAAAAAGUAAAGAUCGUUUUGUCUGUGAAAAGGUGAUCACGGGGAAAAAAAUCUGAGAAAAAGGUCUGUUCGUGGUCAAGUGGCCUAAAAUUGGAACGAGUGGACAGAUAGAAAUGGCGAGCGAUAGGAUCUAUUGGAGUCUAUGAGGAAGCCAUUGGGUGUCGGCCUAAUUCGGCCUGACAGUGUUUUUCCAAAAGGGCCUGACGUGGCCGUCGAGCACGCAUUGCAUCGUAGAUCUGCUUUAAACAUUUCCUACGGCAAGAACCAAUGCCCUUAAGGGAAAGGAGCAGCUUCCCCGUGCUCGGGCCUUUCCUUAAGGAGAGGCAUCUUUCCUUAGGCUAGGAACGGAUGGUUGCGCUCACCUUUGACCAUCCGGCUCACCUGUGACCACCCAGGCCCAGACAACAGACCUGCCACCCAGCGGUGUCUGUCGAUCGCUGUGCUGACAGAGCAGUGUCGCGACUAUCGUCCAAGGGACCUUUCGAUCCUAUGUGAAACGUCCUCUCUGGGGGUCUAGAAGCACUCUGUACACCCCACUUCCCGGGCGCCCUUUCUUCCUUCAGGAAGAAAGGCCCCGGGCCACAGUCCUUACAUCUUAGGUCAGAAUAAACUCACCCCGAUUUUCACGGAUAGAUUGGUUCCGGAUUAUUUCCAUCGACAGAAUGGAAUCAAGUCAAUGAGUUUCACAAGUAGAGGGAGGGAAGCUGAUGCAAAAUCAGAAUUGGUUUUUCUCGCUCUCGAAAGGAUACUUUUCUCUAACUUCUAGUCUCCUCCUGAUAAAGACAUUGGAAAAGGUUUCUCUUGACCUCUGAGGGAAUCGACACCAAAGACAGAGAUCCUCCAUUUUGUCAGAAUGAUUUCCUAGGCCUCUAACGGAGGAGGCCUCCCUCGGACGGGAGCUCAGCUUUUGUUUUGCAACAGUUUUCCUCUCUCUGCUUGCCUUUAACAUCUCCUUUCCCGUUCUUCUUUUUUGGAAGGGAAAUACGUGCACCGCUGGGGGGGGGGGGGGGGAAGAAUUUUCUAAAUGACCAAAGAAGAUCUACGACUGUUGUUAUUUUGGUUUCACGGAGCAGUUCCACGUCCACAUUUACCCCAUUUUUAACACCCACACACACU